CAACUACUCCCUCCAUCCGAAAAUACUUGUCAUCAAAAUGGACAAAAAGGGAUGUAUCUAGAACUAAAAUACAUCUAGAUACAUCUCCUUUUAUUCAUUUUGAUGACAAGUAUUUCCGGACGGACGGAGUAUUUC
rnacentral:pre_miRNA from 1 species